UACGAAGGGUGCAAGCGUUAAUCGGAAUUACUGGGCGUAAAGCGUGCGUAGGCGGUUGUUUAAGUCUGCUGUGAAAUCCCCGGGCUCAACCUGGGAAUGGCGAUGGAUACUGGCGAGCUAGAGUGUGUCAGAGGAUGGUGGAAUUCCCGGUGUAGCGGUGAAAUGCGUAGAGAUCGGGAGGAACAUCAGUGGCGAAGGCGGCCAUCUGGACGAACACUGACGCUGAGGCGCGAAAGCGUGGGGAGCAAACAGG
rnacentral:rRNA from 1 species